GGGAAAUGGCAUUGACCUCGAGUGGGAGCCUAGUGUGAUAUCCACUUGGCCCAGAAAACCAGCAGCGAACAUUUUAUUCCUGCUGGAAUGCCAAUGUGCCUUCCAGGGCUCCCCACUGUCCUUCACAGAGUUUCUGAGGAGCAAGUCGCCUCUGACAAUGUCACCCUGGCAACUAUUUAUAGGACACUGCCACUCGGUAGGAUCUAAUGGCAGUGGAGCCGGGUGACCUCGAGAACACUGCCGCUGGCCCCUAAAUCUCUCACCUGUCACACUGGAGGAUUGCUUCCUGCCCUUGCUUUGGGCCGAUGGGUGGGACCGCCUCAUCUUCAGCUCUGCCCUCUCUGUGGGCCAUGGAAAGCUGGGAGUCCCUUUACUGAGUCAAUUGCAACGUUAACGUCUCAUCUCCAAGGCUUGCUCAGGAUGGGUGUGACCAGCUGGCUGCCCGGAUGCCUAACCAGGGACACGGGAUGAACUCUAACUCAGACACUUAGCAUCCAGCACUGGCUGUGCCUCAACCAUCGGAGGCUACAAGUCACACUCUCCAGGAACACCUAUUCCUGUGGAAUGUCACUUAACAGCUCAAAAUUAUAUACUCCGUCGCCUGAAGCUCCAAGGCCGUAAUGAAUGGCUUUGGUCCCGCCAGGGUAACACCCGAGACAGUUGCGUAAGGGACACGGGGUGGCUGAGAGAGAAGCCCAGACCACCUAUUUGUUUGCAUCUUCUGUCAAAGACGCAAGGUGUGUUUUUUAAAGUACGUAUUUAUGCCAAAGCCUCAGCCCACAGACUUCUUUCUGACGCAUAAGAACAAAGAGACUUUGUGCACCCCUUAGACCAUUCCAGGGUCCCACAGCCACCAUGAGUUCUUGGCAUUGUCUGACAGCGUGCAUACAACAAGGGAUCCUGUUUUUCUGCUACUUUUGCCAGCAAAACAAUCCUAUGUCUGCUCAAUUAUAUUUAACACUGCCAGAAAAAUGGCUCUUUCCAAGAGGAAGGAGUGAUUUGCCUGGAACAGGAGUGGACACCACGGAAAGAAGAGGGCGGGUUUUGACGUAGGAACUGAUGUUGUGGGUCCCUCACUUUGUGCAGAAGGGUGCUAAGAUUGGUAUUUGUGUUGAUACGGCACCUCCAGGGGUGCAGAGGCUCCCUCAAGCCCCAUGUGUUGCAUUUGGAGCCCUUGAUGCUCUACCAACCACUCCUGUGCCAGGCAAGUUUCAAACAGAGUCAAUUGAGCCACUGGUAUAAGAAGGGAAGAUGGCUCAGUAGGUAAAGUACCUGCCUUGCAAGCACAAGGACCUGUGUUCGAUACCCAUCGACGCCUGAGUCUGGUGGUCUACACUUAUCCUUCCAGCCUGGGAAGCCAAAUGAGGGUAACUGAGAUUCUUCUUACUCAAACUGGGAGGAGAAUAUUAUUUUCUCUUUUUUGCCACUUAGAAUCAACUAAAGAUGUUUUCUACGGACGUCACUAAAAUUGCCGUUUCUGGGACAGAAACAAAGAUGGACGCCUUUCCCUAAACUGAUGAGACACUACCAACAGCUUCUCAGACUGUCGGGUCAGGACAUUUCUUACGCACUGCUCCCCUUUGAUCGUUCCCCCCAAGACAAGAUAACUCGAGGUGAUUGACUGUAGCAGAGCUGGGGAGAAACCCAGGCCUCUGACCCAGGCUUGAGGUCUCUCUUCAACCCGUGCUGAGCAGAGAGGAGACGUACCUGGGGCCCAAGGUGGUAACCACAAACUCCAAGGCCAUGGUCUGUACCGGCCUUGUCCUGUGGACAUGGAUUCAAAUAGACACUCUUUAGGAAGAAGAUCUCUAGCGCCCAGAUCUAUCACGCUUGUAAGGUUUAAAGUUAGCGCAAGAGUCUGCAAACCCCGCAAGCGCAGGUCACUGUCUGGGCCUAGACCCGGUAGGUGAGGCUUGGUUACAGGUCUCUGGACAGGGAUUUUGGAGGGGCAAGGCAUUCCAGCAUCCUACAUCCAACAAGUCAAUGGCAUCUGAAGAAAUGACAAUUAGUGGAUCAAUAACCAGCUUUCUCACACUCGUUUGAGUGGGUGUUGAAGGAGUGAGUAGGGGGAGACUUUCCAUUCCUCCCAAAGAUCCCUACAGCAAAGCAGUUGCUUCUCACUGCCAAGCUGAGCAUGGCUGGGCUGGAGGCUCUCUGUAAGGAGUGCUGGCCAUGGGUAGCCACACAGGGUUACAUUCACCCAAGCCUAUUCAUCCUGACCUCAUCCUCGUGGCAACCCGGGUGACAUCCAGCAAGCUAGCCUUGACCAUUCCCUGCCCCCAAGUCCUGGAACCUGUGAUGAAAGCCACUAUCACUAUUUCCCGAGGCCCUGGGGGCUCUGUCGAGGAUGAAGUUAAGUAGACAUUGACUGACUGUAACUCAUUCUUCUGGGGAAUAGGAGCACGCUCCAGGAGGAAGUAAGGAUAUGAUUUUACAGAGAAGCGUCUCAGGGUUCCGCAUGUCUGUUACCCAAUGGUGUGAAGCUUCAAGCUUUUCAUGGCAUAUCUGUAUCUAUUUAAACAAAACCCACUAGACUGUAACCCAGGAGAAAGUGUGGAAAUGGGAAGAAAACGUGCGCGUGAGGAGAAGAGGAACCGGCAGAAAGAGAGGAGGCAGAACAGAGCGGUGACCUGCUCAUCACCAUGACACAGUACACUGCAGUUUUCCAGAGAGUUCCCACAUUACACUACAAUGUGUCUGCUUAGAGUGCAAGGGACCAUCUGUCCCCUGGAAGAGCUGUCCUCUUCCUCUAGAGUGCUGCGUGUGGAGAACUUCUAACCUGGGGCCGGAGAGAGGCAACUGACCCCAUCUGUCCACCUGUCUUCUGCUAUCACAGCUUCUGUCACCAUCCGUUCCUGUCACGUGACAUUUCUAACUCCAAGCUGCUAGAGACCCAUGGGGACUAGAGGCAAUAACUCUCAACUUCAAGGAGAGACAACACCCAGAGGAAUGUAGGUAUGGUGGGAUGGGCUGAGACAGGAGGAGAAAUUGUGUCUCUUGGAGCCUUGUUUUCCCUCGUGGUCCCAACAGAUGAGUCCUUCUUACAACCACUACGGUGCUGUGGGACUUGCAGUGGGGAGGGGGGUAGAAAGCUCUCAUUUUAGCAUAUGCUGACAAUUAGAAAAUGAUGUGUUGGGGCCCAGUGUAUGUUGCAGCUAAAAUUAAAGAUGCAUCUAUCAGGAUUUCGGUAGCACAAUGUCAGGGGAUACACAAUGCACAGAGAAUAAUGAAGCUACAGCACGAGAAAGAAGGACCCCAAAUUGUUAUAAUUAUCUCUGCCGUUGUCAGCCAACCUCCUAAUGCGGAAACACAAUGGAACGAAACGAUGUUACCUGAAAGCAGACUCGUCCCCCAUGCCUUUGUCCCAUUGUUUCCUCCCCAGGCCCUGUUCCCACUGCGCCUUGCCUUGCUCAGAGCCCCGUCUAAUAAUUUCCUUCUUAUUAAUAUUUAAUAUAUCUGCACUGUGCACAUUUUAUAAAAUAUGUCCAUUGUAGAAAAAUAAAGGGAAUGAAAUAGCAAUCACGGGUAUGCGAGCUUCCCCACCUGAGAAAACACAAAAGGUUAAUAUCUCCACGCAAAGAGCCCUCUUUGUGUGAGUCAUGCAUACACGACCUCAUUAACCCAGCAGCCAUCUCCAGAACUUCCCUCAGGAAGGUAACAGGCUUUGUCAGGAAAGUCAUUCGGGUGACUGCACAGAGUUGGGAGAAGUCGGAGAGUCCAGAGCUAUGGCCCACACCUGAGAGCUGGCAAGGAAGCUUCUGUGUCUGCUCCUAAGAGGCAAAUGUAUCGUCCCCAGAGGAGCAAAAUAGUUUAGGGGGUGGCACUAGGCCACCGGUUUUCUUCAUGUG
rnacentral:sRNA from 1 species